GUCCACGCCGUAAACGAUGGAUACUAGCUGUUGGAGGCAACUUCAGUGGCUAAGCGAAAGUGAUAAGUAUCCCACCUGGGGAGUACGGGCGCAAGCCUGAAACUCAAAGGAAUUGACGGGGGCCCGCACAAGCGGUGGAGCAUGUGGUUUAAUUCGAUGAUACGCGAGGAACCUUACCAAGGCUUAAAUGUAGUUUGCUCGGACUGGAAACAGUUUUUUCGCAAGACAAAUUACAAGGUGCUGCAUGGUUGUCGU
rnacentral:rRNA from 1 species